rnacentral:rRNA from 1 species
GUAAAAGUCGUAACAAGGUUUCCGUAGGUGAACCUGCGGGAAGGAUCAUUACCUAGAGUUGUAGGCUUUGCCUGCUAUCUCUUACCCAUGUCUUUUGAGUACCUUACGUUUCCUCGGUGGGUUCGCCCACCGAUUGGACAAAUUUAAACCCUUUGCAGUUGAAAUCAGCGUCUGAAAAAACUUAAUAGUUACAACUUUCAACAACGGAUCUCUUGGUUCUGGCAUCGAUGAAGAACGCAGCGAAAUGCGAUAAGUAGUGUGAAUUGCAGAAUUCAGUGAAUCAUCGAAUCUUUGAACGCACAUUGCGCCCCUUGGUAUUCCAUGGGGCAUGCCUGUUCGAGCGUCAUUUGUACCUUCAAGCUCUGCUUGGUGUUGGGUGUUUGUCUCCUGUAGACUCGCCUUAAAACAAUUGGCAGCCGGCGUAUUGAUUUCGGAGCGCAGUACAUCUCGCGCUUUGCACUCAUAACGACGACAUCCAAAAGUACAUUUUUACACUCUUGACCUCGGAUCAGGUAGGGAUACCCGCUGAACUUAAGC